rnacentral:rRNA from 1 species
UGGGGAAUAUUGGACAAUGGGGGAAACCCUGAUCCAGCAAUGCCGCGUGAGUGAAGAAGGCCUUAGGGUUGUAAAGCUCUUUCGCCCGCGAAGAUAAUGACGGUAGCGGGAGAAGAAGCCCCGGCUAACUCCGUGCCAGCAGCCGCGGUAAUACGGAGGAGGCUAGCGUUGUUCGGAAUUACUGGGCGUAAAGCGUACGUAGGCGGAUGCGCAAGUUGGGGGUGAAAUCCCGGGGCUUAACCUCGGAAUUGCCCUCAAAACUGCACGUCUUGAGACCGAGAGAGGUAAGGUGAAUUCCUAGUGUAGAGGUGAAAUUCGUAGAUAUUAGGAAGAACACCAGUGGCGAAGGCGCCUUACUGGCUCGGUACUGACGCUGAGGUACGAAAGCGUGGGGAGCAAACA